UAAGAUUUGUUGCGGUAAGAAGUUUGC
rnacentral:sRNA from 1 species